rnacentral:misc_RNA from 1 species
GAAACGCGAUAGUUAAUGUGAAUUGCAGAAUUCAGUGAAUCAUCGAGUCUUUGAACGCACAUUGCGCCCAUUGGUAUUCCUUUGGGCAUGUCUGUUUGAGCGUCAUUACAACCCCUCAGCUAACGCUGGUUUUGAACCGGGACAGGUUAAACACCCGCACCGGUUUUAAAGUUGUAAGCUCUGCUGGCUGCUCUGCCCCAACCGGAACAUAGUAAAAACACUACUUGUUAAGGCGAGGCGAAGCGGUACGGCCUGAACAAAACCUACCCAUUCUAAGGUUUGACCUCAGAUCAGACAAGGAUACCCGCUGAACUUAA